GAGAGAGAGAGAGAGAGGUUUAAAGAUCUGAUAUGGGCAAGUGAGUUGUGGGUCUGUCACACUAUGAAUUGAUGUAUGUUUUUGUGCAAUUUUGUGCAAACUUUUUAAUUUUGGAAAUUGUCUUGAUUGCAAAAUUUAGUUGCAAUUUUGCCCAAUCAGUCGAAAUUGAAAUAAAAAAAAUUAUCAAUUUAAUUUUAAAAAAUAAUUUGUCCAUAGCAUGGAAAGGACUUGCAGUUAAUUUUGACUAAUUUAUUUAUUUAUUUGGUGUUAAAAAAUUAUUUGUAAUUUCUAAUUUGACCAAUUGUAUAGGAUUGCACCUAAGUUUUGAAAUCAGGAAAAAAUUGCCAAAAUUAGAACGUUUGGAUAAACUUACAAAUGUUUGGGUUUUUCUGACUAUUAAGCCAAUAACACGGAGAAAGGUUUAAAGUUCUGAAUUGGCAAUAGAAUUGUGGUUAUUCAAACUUUGCAUUGGGUCAGUUUGAAAAUUAGUUAAUGCUGAGGAUUUUUCUUUUCAUAAAGGAUCUGCUUUAUUGAGUUGAAAUCCAGAUGUUGCCAAAAUGGUUUUAAAUGCUGGCCUUGGAUUGAGAAUUUAGGAUGGAUUGGUAAUUGAAAAGUUUAACUAAAGUGAAGGGAUUACGGAAAAUGUGUAGGGAAAAAGAGAUAGAGGGGAUUUUGUAGUUGUUCAGAAUGCGGUAGAUGGUAGCUGAAACACUGUAGCAGUGGGAGUUAAUACAAGCACAUAUCAAAUGAUUCCCCAAGAUAGUUAAAAGCAUAAGGCGCACUC
rnacentral:misc_RNA from 1 species